ensembl:snoRNA U3 Small nucleolar RNA U3
AAAAUAAUGCCAUUUGCAGCAGCAUUUGAGAAAAGUCUCUGAAUGUGUGGAGCACCAGAAAGCCUGAGGAAAAGGUUUAGUAUUAUCUACAGAGUAUGAAGCUGGUUUUUGGACCUGGUUCUAUCUGCCAUUGAUGAUCAUUCUUCUCUUCCUUUGGGAGAGCGAAAGGGAGAGGAUGCUAUUGGAG